rnacentral:pre_miRNA from 1 species
AGUAGAAUUGCUGGGUCAGAUGAUAAUUCUAUGUUUAACUUAUCAAGGAACUGCCAAACUAUUUUGCACAGUGACCUCAUCAUUUUACAUUCCCACCAGCAAU